UACGGAGGGUGCGAGCGUUGUCCGGAAUCACUGGGCGUAAAGGGCGCGUAGGUGGCCUGUGGAAGUCUGCGGUGAAAGCCCCGGCGCUCAACGCCGGGUCGGCCGUGGAUACUCUCGGGCUCGAGCUUACUAGAGGCAGAUGGAAUUCCGGGUGUAGCGGUGGAAUGCGUAGAGAUCCGGAAGAACACCGGUGGCGAAGGCGGUCUGCUGGGGUAAUGCUGGACACUGAUGCGCGACAGCGUGGGGAGCAAACAGGAGUUAGAAUACCCGGAUGAGUC
rnacentral:rRNA from 1 species